rnacentral:rRNA from 1 species
AGUGAACGCUGGCGGUAGGCCUAACACAUGCAAGUCGAACGGCAGCACAGGAGAGCUUGCUCUCUGGGUGGCGAGUGGCGGACGGGAGAGGAAUACAUCGGAAUCUACUCUGUCGUGGGGGAUAACGUAGGGAAACUUACGCUAAUACCGCAUACGACCUACGGGUGAAAGCAGGGGACCUUCGGGCCUUGCGCGAUUGAAUGAGCCGAUGUCGGAUUAGCUAGUUGGCGGGGUAAAGGCCCACCAAGGCGACGAUCCGUAGCUGGUCUGAGAGGAUGAUCAGCCACACUGGAACUGAGACACGGUCCAGACUCCUACGGGAGGCAGCAGUGGGGAAUAUUGGACAAUGGGCGCAAGCCUGAUCCAGCCAUACCGCGUAGGUGAAGAAGGCCUUCGGGUUGUAAAGCCCUUUUGUUGGGAAAGAAAUCCAGCUGGCUAAUACCCGGUUGGGAUGACGGUACCCAAAGAAUAAGCACCGGCUAACUUCGUGCCAGCAGCCGCCGCCG